GACAGCUGUUUCAGAGACAGGGUA
rnacentral:piRNA from 1 species